GCAUUUGUGGUUCAGUGGUAGAAUUCAUGCCUUCCAUGUGGGAGACCCGGGUUUGAGUCCCGGCCAAAGCC
rnacentral:tRNA from 1 species